UACAGAGGGUGCGAGCGUUGUCCGGAAUCACUGGGCGUAAAGGGCGCGUAGGUGGCGCGACAAGUCAGUGGUGAAAGUUCGACGCUCAACGUCGAAUCGGCCACUGAUACUGUUGGGCUUGAGCACUGUAGAGGCUAAUGGAAUUCCGGGGUGUAGCGGUGGAAUGCGUAGAGAUCCGGAGGAACACCGGUGGCGAAGGCGGCUUCCUGGUCUGCAACUGACGCUGUGGCGCGAAAGCUAGGGGAGCAAACGGG
rnacentral:rRNA from 1 species